CUUUCAAAAAUAAAAAUUAGUUAAGAUGAAAGUCAUGCAACGAAGUUGUUGAUAAGAAUUGCCAUUAGAUGUUAUUAAGAGCUUCAUAUUUCAAAUGUCAAUUUUGAUUCAUUGGAAAAAGAUUAUCUGUAAAACAAAGGUGUUGAGGAAACAAAAAGCUGUAACUUUUAAACCAAUUCUAGCUCAAAAGAAAUAAAAAUCUAUCAUAAUUAUAAAAUAGUUACAGGCCUGACAGGGAGAGAGAAGAGAUAAAGAGAAGAGAGAAUGUUUCAAACAUCAGAAAAUGUUUUAUUUCAGUGUGUAUACUCAUGUGUCGAGCACUUAUUUUGCAAUGUAAUUUAAAAUAACGACUGUCGUGACAGUCUGUGGUGAAAGCUCCCUCACCAUUGUAGAUCUCAACAGACAACACAAGGCCUUUCCAAAGAGUUUCUAUACAAGGUACAACGAUGGGUACGCCCCUCCUGGCCCAGGGUCCUUCGUUAAAUCAUCAGUUUGUUAACUGCUGUUUGCAAGGUAAACCCUCCCCCUGGAAUGAACUUCUUUAAGGCAAAAUGAAAUAAAAUAAAGGUCCACGUAGACGGCUAAGACACUUUAUUCUAAGCAAACAGCCAUUUUCUCUUCUGACAUGGGAUUCCAGUGAGAAUUGAAAAAAGUAAAAGG